rnacentral:rRNA from 1 species
GACGAACGCUGGCGGCGUGCUUAACACAUGCAAGUCGAACGCGCCUGUCCUCUGGGUUUCUGGGGGGUGGGUGAGUGGCGAACGGGUGAGUAACACGUGAGUAACCUGCCCCCUUCUUCGGGAUAACGGUCUGAAAGGGCUGCUAAUACCGGGUAUUCACUGGUCUCCGCAUGGGGUCUGGUGGAAAGGUUUUUUUCUGGUGGGGGAUGGGCUCGCGGCCUAUCAGCUUGUUGGUGGGGUGAUGGCCCACCAAGGCUUUGACGGGUAGCCGGCCUGAGAGGGUGCCCGGUCACAUUGGGACUAAGAUACGGCCCAGACUACUACGGGAGGCAGCAGUGGGGAAUAUUGCACAAUGGGCGCAAGCCUGAUGCAGCGACGCCGCGUGAGGGAUGGAGGCCUUCGGGUUGUGAACCUCUUUCGCCCGUGGUCAAGCCGCGACGUGGGUCGUGGUGAGGGUAGUGGGUAAAGAAGCGCCGGCUAACUACGUG